rnacentral:snRNA from 1 species
CUGCUGCGCGGUAAGCACAGAGCGAACUAUUCUUUCGCCUUUUACUAAAGAAUACCGUGAUCUUGCCGCUUUUCAAGCAGCAUACCUCUUUUUGGAGGGUCUUUUCCUCUUUAGGAAUU